CAAUUGGAUCUACCACGGUUCACAGAUGCCACCCUUUAAUUUAUUAUUCAGUAAGUAAUAAAGUACAUUUAUAAAUAUACGUGUGUAUUUCAGGAAUUGUUUAAAAGCAGUUAUUUUAUUAUGGACGUGCAUCAUAGUUUUCCAUGCAUCGGUGACCGCCAUUGUGGUUAAAGAUUACAAUAUAAGUGCAAUAUCAAUUAAUUCUAUUGGAGGUUUAUUUAAAUCUGUUGAUGUAUACUUUAGUCGUAUACGUAAUAAAGAGAACCAGCAUAUAUUUGAUAAUUACUACAAGACUCCAGAAGCUACUUAUGGACCAGAAGAACAUAUGAUUGGAUAUGUUGAUAAAAAGACGAUAAUUGAUUUGGAAAUAGAAUAUCCAUCUGAGGAAUAUGCAGGUCUAAACAGAACAUUACUGGAGUUAACAGAAAAGCUAUUACAAUUCAAUCCAUCACAAAAAGAAAUGUCUACGAAACUAAUAGAAGAAUAGGUAUUCAUUACUUCCAACAUUUUUAAAUAAUUAUUUACAUUAACAUACAAUUAUUAUGAUCAGUUGUAAACUUCUGUAUUGCUAAAUUAUAUAAUAUUUGUUUUGGGUUAUUUCAAAAGUUGAAGUUACAUCAUUUCUCUUUUAAGAGAUUAUUUUUUAUUAUAUUGACAAUCACACAAUAGUUUUUCACGUUUUACUUCUUCGAUGUGCAAUAACUUUAAAAAAUUUACAAUGAUGAGUUUAUUUAGUUUGUGUAUGUAAAAAUGUACCUACAUUAACUUUAAGGAAAAUCAAUAAUUUUGUUUAACAAGUCAGUUUUCUACAAUUGUUGAGGUGUGCAUAUUUGAGCGUUUUUUUGUCUUAGAAUUUUCUAGAAAUGCUAUAUGAUUUUAAUUUGUUUGAUAC